GUAAAAUUGAAAACAGUACGCAUCGGGUGUCAUCGGGACUAGUUCAAUCACACAUAGAAAUAAAAGGAUAUCUUACAGCACAAUGUUUGCUAAACUGUUGAUCUUGUUCGCUGUGCUGGCGGUUGCUCUGGCGAGGCCCCAGCUUUACUCCGGCUACGGCUACGGAAGCUACGCUGCCGGCUAUCCCGGCUACUACGGCUAUUCUGGCUACUCCAACCCCGUCGGCUACGGCUCGUACGGCACCUAUGGAGCCUCCCCAUACAACUAUGGCUACGGAUACUACUAAGUAUUAACCUAAAAAACUACUGCCCUGAUCUUUAUGCCUACUUUGUGAUGUACCUAUGUUAAGUCCAAGCAAUAUAUAUUAUGUUAUAUCAAAAA